rnacentral:rRNA from 1 species
AUUGAACGCUGGCGGCAUGCUUUACACAUGCAAGUCGAACGGUAACAGGGAGCUUGCUCCGCUGACGAGUGGCGAACGGGUGAGUAAUGCGUCGGAACGUGCCGAGUAGUGGGGGAUAACGCAUCGAAAGGUGUGCUAAUACCGCAUACGUACUGAGGUAGAAAGUGGGGGACAUUCGGGCCUCACGCUAUUCGAGCGGCCGACGUCUGAUUAGCUAGUUGGUGAGGUAAAGGCCCACCAAGGCGACGAUCAGUAGCGGGUCUGAGAGGAUGAUCCGCCACACUGGGACUGAGACACGGCCCAGACUCCUACGGGAGGCAGCAGUGGGGAAUUUUGGACAAUGGGCGCAAGCCUGAUCCAGCCAUGCCGCGUGUCUGAAGAAGGCCUUCGGGUUGUAAAGGACUUUUGUCCGGGAGCAAAUGCUGGUGGCUAACAUCCACCGGAGCUGAGAGUACCGGAAGAAUAAGCACCGGCUAACUACGUGCCAGCAGCCGCCGUAACAC